rnacentral:lncRNA from 1 species
GGCGGCGCUGCGAGGGUUGGAGGCGUAGGAGCUGAGACCGGGCUUGGUCUGGAGGAAGAGCUCGAGAUCUUUUCCGAUGGGGAGGAGGUUGAGGUUGUGGUCGAAGCAGAAGACAUGGACGCGGCUGCCGGAGCUGCCGGCGUCGAAGAUGACGGCGUAGGAGGUCUUGGAGGAGUGAAUCUGAAUAGGAGUCUGGGAGGGCAUGACGUAGAAGACCAUGGUGAGGAGGAGAAGAGGGACGGAGACGAGGAGGAGGAGACUGCGGUGCUUGUAGAGCUUGUCGGAGAGGGAGUCAGAGCUCCCUCUGCCAGGACGCUUCAGCAUCUGAUCGGAGGACGGCGGAGAAGUCGUCUGAGCCUCAAGCAGUUCAGCCGAGGAAG